rnacentral:rRNA from 1 species
UACGUAGGUGGCAAGCGUUGUCCGGAAUUAUUGGGCGUAAAGAGUACGUAGGCGGUCUGUUAAGCGCAAGGUGAAAGGCAUAGGCUCAACCAAUGUGAGCCUUGCGAACUGGCAGACUUGAGUGCAGGAGAGGAAAGCGGAAUUCCUAGUGUAGCGGUGAAAUGCGUAGAUAUUAGGAGGAACACCGGUGGCGAAGGCGGCUUUCUGGACUGAAACUGACGCUGAGGUACGAAAGCGUGGGGAGCAAACAGG